UGUACGGGCACUUGCCAUGACUUUAUUUUUGAAUAUUUCUGUGUUCAUGUGGUAGGGAAAACAUUGUUGUAUACUACAAAUUCCCUGUUUUGCUUUUAGGUUGGAGACUACAUAAGACUUUGACAGUUGGCGGGAAACCAUCAUCAACUGGAGAGAUGCCGGAAGAGGAAUGUCUGCGACUAAGUCAAGGGCCACUGGAUAAGGGUUGUUGAUGGCAAAACAGGUUGGAGACUACAUAAGACUUUGACAGUUGGCUGGAAACCAUCAUCAACUGGAGAGAUGCCGGUAAAAAGAUGGCCAUAAAACAGUGACCGCUGAUUCGCAUUGAGUUCUUUCUUACAUAUUGGAUGACCUAUGUUUUUUAUUGUUUAAAUCAUUGCGGCUUGGAAUGCUCUUUAAGAAAAGGUAUGGUUAUGGGGGUGUCUACGCGCAAAAGUUUGACUUUAUUUUUUGUUAAAGUUAUUGCUUUUACAUUGAAUUUGUGCAGGAAAUCUUUUGGUAUGUUGUGA